GAUGAACGCUGGCGGCGUGCCUAAUACAUGCAAGUCGAGCGAACAGACGAGGAGCUUGCGCCUCUGACGUUAGCGGCAGAGGUGUGAGUAACACGAGUAUAACCUACCUAUAAGACGGGGAUAACUACGGGAAACCGGAGCUAAUACCGGAUAAGAUAUUGAACCGCAUGGGGCAAUGGUGAAAGACGGUGUUGCUGGCACUAAUAGAUGCAUCCGCGCCGCAUUAGCUAGUUGUGAAGGUAACGGCUUACGAAGGCGACGAUGCGUAGACGACUUGACAGGCUGAUCGGCGACCCUGGAGCUGAGACACGCUCCAGAGUCCUACGGGACGCAGCAGUAGGCAAUCUUACGCAGUGGGCGAGAACAUUACGGAGCGACGCCACGUGAGUGAUGACAGCCUCCCGAUCGUAAAGCUCUCUUACGAGGGAAAAACAAAUGUCUCCGUUACCAUGCCCGUAUUGACGGUACCUGGUCAAAAAGCCCCGGCUAACUACGUG
rnacentral:rRNA from 1 species